rnacentral:rRNA from 1 species
ACUAUGCACGAAAGUGCGAUGGGGCAACUCCGAGUGUUGUCGUAAUGGCAACUUUUCCUAAGUGUAACAAGCUUGGGGAAUAAGGAGAGGGCAAGACUGGUGCCAGCCGCCGCGGUAAAACCAGCUCUUCGAGUGGUAGGGAUGAUUAUUUGGGCUAAAGCGUCCGUAGCCGGACUCGUAAGUCCACGGUUAAAGGUCAGGUCUCAAAUCUGUACAUUGCCGUGGAUACUGUGGGUCUAGAAACCGGGAGAGGUGAAAGGUACUCCAGGGGUAGAGGUGAAAUUCGUUCAUCCUUGGGGGACCACCUAUGGCGAAGGCAUUUCACUAGAACGGGUUCGACGGUGAGGGACGAAAGCCAGGGGAGCGAGCCGGAUUAGAUACCCGGGUAGUCCUGGCCGUAAACGAUGCGUGCUAAGUGUCAGGGUACAUGCGGAGUAUCCUGGUGCCGAAGGGAAGCCGUUAAGCACGCCCCCAGGGGAGUACGCUCGCAAGGGUGAAACUUAA